CUUCGUUUGCCAUUCCAUCGGACUCGGUUUGUUGUGCCUACCGCACGCGUUUAAGCAGGUGGGUGUGAUAAUCGGCUUUGUGUUGUGCGUUAUCGCCGGAUUGACGUUUACUUAUUCCUUUACCACAUUGUGCCAUUUUAGGUAUAAACUAUGUCAAAUACACAGAUUGCCGACAGUUUCGUAUCAGAAUUUGAUCGAGUACAGCUUGACACAUGGCCCGAAAGUAAUCAGAUGGUUUUCACCGUUUUUUAAGUUUAUGUUUAUCGCCACGAACCUGACGUUGAAUUUUGGGAAAAGCUGUCUGUACACGAAAUUUGUGUCGUCGACACUUCACG